rnacentral:rRNA from 1 species
AUCUACGGCCAUGCUACCCUGAACAUGCCUGAUCCCCUCUGAUCUUGGAAGCUAACCAGAGUUGGGCUAGCUGUACUUGGAUGGGAGACCACCUAGGAAUAGGUGUCUUCUGUAAGCA